rnacentral:rRNA from 1 species
GACGAACGCUGGCGGCGUGCUUAACACAUGCAAGUCGAACGGAAAGGCCCUGCUUUUGUGGGGUGCUCGAGUGGCGAACGGGUGAGUAACACGUGAGUAACCUGCCCUUGACUUUGGGAUAACUUCAGGAAACUGGGGCUAAUACCGGAUAGGAGCUCCUGCUGCAUGGUGGGGGUUGGAAAGUUUCGGCGGUUGGGGCUGGACUCGCGGCUUAUCAGCUUGUUGGUGGGGUAGUGGCUUACCAAGGCUUUGACGGGUAGCCUGCCUGAGAGGGUGACCGGCCACAUGGGGACUGAGAUAGGGACCAGAAGCCUACGGGCGGCAACAGGCGGGAAUAUUGCACAAUGGGCGGAAGCCUGAUGCAGCAACGCCGCGUGCGGGAUGACGGCCUUCGGGUUGUAAACCGCUUUCGCCUGUGACGAAGCGUGAGUGACGGUAAUGGGUAAAGAAGCACCGGCUAACUACGUG